GGCGGACACUGCUUCCACCGCCUCCAAUUCACUGAAAUAGGUUUCACAUGGUUCGUAUCAACUUGUCGGACCGCUACUCGAACCCGGAGCGAUGGGUGGGGAAGGAAGAUGAGGGUUAACUUCAAUGGAGAAAGAAAGCACUCGAUGAUCAGUUCUCUACCGGGACAAAGAAGAUGAUCACUAGCAGAGAUAGCAAUUCGAACCUUAGAGUCUCCCUACAGUGAGGGAGACUUCCCGUGUCCUACUUCCUUUGAAUGAACACUAACCAAUCAUGUAAUCAUCUAUAGAUAUAUCAUUGUUGGAACAUGAUCCGAUCUUCGAGAAGUAGUGCUAUGAUGCUUCCAUCCCUUUUCUUUCGAAUUCGGAUCGGGC